UCUAGUCAACCUUUACUGUUUUGUUUCUGACAUUUACACUUGAAUACCUUCCUGCUUUUCUACAGGGUUUAUCACAUAGUUUACUAAGGCUGUAAUUUCCAACUUCCUUUGUGCACAGAUCUUCAAGAGAGUUCUAGGGUUUUAAUAUCUACUGCUCUCUUUCUUCUUCUUCUUCAUCUACUUCGGGGUUUCCUUCUCCUCAUCAUCUUAGGGUCUUCAUACAAAAGUAAUACCAAGUAAGUAGGAGGGAUCAUGCAGGAUACUAUGUGUCCUUUUCAAGCAGUUCUGAAAGGGGUAUGCAAGAUCAAGAAAUUCUUUAAGGGAGAUCCUAUUUACCUUGGGGAUGUUUUGGUAGGCAUGCAUGUGUUGUAUAAAUGAUGUUUUUACUACUUGGACUAUAACUACUGAUCUUUGUAUGCAGAUGAGUAACCUCUACAUUCCCAAGAAAGGCCUUCAGGUCAUUCCUGUAUUUGCUUAUGGAAACUGCAUUCCUGAGGCAUUUGUUGCUGAAGCAUUGCCAGAACGCCGUGUGGAGAUGGCCAGAAUUGUGAGAAGCUGGGUGGCCAAGGUUGUGGGUCACCCAAAUAUUUUCCAAACCCUGGAUUAGGGUUUAGGGUUUUAGGGUUUUAGGGUUUAGGGUUUAGGGUUUUGGGUUUUAGGGGGUACACUACCGGGGGAAAAAUGGGCCAUUUUCAGAACAGCCGUGCUGUACAUUAUUGUGUGAAGACGUGCAUUCAGCCACGCAUAUUACUAUCUUUUAUGUUUUCUUUUUUUCCUGCAAUCUGCAUUUAAAACCCUGUCAAAGGGACGAUUUGUCCCAUUGAAGUGGAUGAUGUUGUACCAAGCAUGUACAGUAUCCACAACAAUGCAGGAAUCGCAGCUGACGCAUCCAUUUAAGCAGGGAGUGCUGCCCUGCCUGGAAGGUGUGCAAGCAGUAGGAUUCUGAUUGGAGCUGCAAGGGCAAAACCCAUGGAUGCCUUUGCCCGAGAGCUUGAGGCGUGGAUCAUUGCUUUUGGGUUUCUGAGGUGCUUGUACUAUACUAGGCUCUGAUGAUAUAGAAGCAGGUGGCUGGGAUGAGGAGCUGGCUCCCACAUCUGCUUGAGCUACCCACCUGCAGUCCUGGUCCCCAGCUUCCUUCCACGAUGACACCUUGGCUUACACUGUGCCCCCUUCCCUUUUUGGGCGGUGCACCAGCAUGGAGCGCCCAGGGGGCCCCCGCCCUAUAGGAUUGCCCAUGUCCAUGUGGCCAUGUGGCCAUGUGGCCACGUGGCCAUGUGGCCAUGUGGCCAUGUGGCCAUGUGGCCGUGUGGCUGUGUGGCCGUGUGGCUGUGUGGCCAUGUGGCUGUGUGGCCAUGUGGCUGUGUGGCCAUGUGGCUGUGUGGCCAUGUGACCGUGUGGCCAUGUGGCCAUGUGGCUGCGUGGCUGUGUGGCCAUGUGACCGUGUGGCCGUGGGUCCAUAGAAUUGGGAAUUAGUGGUUCCAUUAUGGUGUGGUGCUCCCCUGGGGUGAGAAGGUCCUCUCAUAUUGUUGUAAGAGGGCAUAGGCAGCUGGGUAGGGUGUGGGGCCAUCACUGUGGGUGGAGCUUCCACACCUACGUAUUUUUUUGUGUGGUCCCCACCUUAUGUGCUGUCCACCUUUCAUGGCUAAUUUUUCAUGUCCCCAUCCCUUUGCCCCCUUUUCAUGUCCCCACCCCUAAUAGGCCCUGCCACACCAGGGAGGAGGUGGAGUGCUGUCACUUCUCAAAGUUACAAAGAAACAUAUAAAGGGCAGCAGGCUAGAGCUCUCUCUAGAUCUCUCAUGGGAUGUUGCAACAUCAGCAGACUACACACUACUACACACAGGCCCUCUCCUCCAUGUGAAGCAAUGUCCUCGCAGCAUCCUCCACUUCCUGCACUGUGCUGCCACCCAUACUGGAUCCACGAUACCAGAAAGGAGGAUGCUGGCCCCUGCUGCACAGGAGCCAGGCGGCUGUGUAGCCCACACUCCCAUCCAUGCCUCAGUGUGGCCAUGCCAGUUAAAUUCAGCAUGUCCUCCUAAGCAGAACUUCAUUAAACGCUGAUAUCUGUUAACUGCUACUAACUGUCUGCUAACUGUCUAUUAUCUUCCUCCCAACUGCCUACCACAAUUUGCUUUCAACUGUUGGCCAACUGUUUUGCCAACUAACUGUCUCUGAUCUGUCCGCCAACUGCCUUUGAACUGUGUACUGACUUGACUAUUUGCCAACUGCCAACCCUACAUUUUACUAGUGUCCUGACGACCAGCAAUGUGUGUGCCUGCUAACUUCCUUUUUACUUAGUAAGUGUCCAUAAAGUGUCUGCCGCCACAUCAUCUGCCUGAUUGCCUGCUAACUCCUUAUUAACUACCUUCCAACUGUCUCAUAACUGACUAACGACUAACAAACAACUGUACUAUCAACUCUGUGUUUUAAAACUGACUGUCCACCUGUCAUGUCAGCAACUGCCUGCCACCUGUCUGCCCACUGCCUGCUCAACUGUGUGCCAACUGUCUGCCAACGGUUAUGGGGUCAACUGUCUGCCAAACGCCUACCAACCGUCUGCUAACUGUCCACCAACUGUCCUAAUCACUGUGUUCCAACAGUUGUGUGCCAUCUGUCUUCCCACUGUCUACCUAUGUACCUACAUCCAUCUUUUACAUCUACCUAUCUAACUAUCUAUGCCUACCUAUGGAUGGGUAGUUGCAGACAGACAGACAGACAGACAGACAGACAGACAGACAGACAGAAAUAAAUAAAUAAAUGGAUAAACAAAUGGAUAAACAAAUGAAUAAAUAAAUGAUUAAAUAAAUAAACGAAUAAAUAAAUAAAAACCUAAGACAGACAGACAGACAGACGUCCUUGGUGGAGUCCCAUGGUGGAGUACUCCUCAGGCUACAUCAACGCGUGUGGCACCAGCUCGAGUUUUUCUCUCUCCGUCUCUUCUCUCUCUUCUCUCUUUCUGUCUGUGCGUGUGUCUGUGUGUGUAAACACUCAUGUGUACACACACACACACCAUGUACACACAAGCAGGCGAUGUUGGGGUAACAAGAAAACACACAAACACACACACACACACACACAGGACUGUUGGGGCACAUGGUAGUGUUGGGGUAACGUGAAACACACGCAACCACAGUCCUGAUUGGGCACAUGAUGGGGUUGGGGUAACAUGAAAACAUGCACACACACAGCCACAGAACUAUUCGGGUAUAUGCUGGUGUUGGGGUAACAUACGACACAGAGACACACAGACAGACAGAGGCAGAGACAGAGAGACACACACUCACACACACACACACACAUACACACACACACACACACACACAGAAUCACACAGAAUCACACAGAGUCACACAGAGUCACACACAGUCACACAGAGGCACACACAGAGGCACACACAGAGGCACACAC
rnacentral:lncRNA from 1 species